AAUUUUGUUGCUUGCCUCUUGUUCUUAACGCAUGACUCGAAGAAGAGGGUGUUUGAGGACGGGAGACACGGGAAGGAGGAUGUCAGCGAGAACCAGAUAUUGCCGUCUUCCAACUCGUAUGUUCGCGAUCCAACUCAUUCUGCUGGUUUUUAUGAUCGGCAGCAGCAUCAUCAUCCCCCCCACUGCAGCUGCUGCUCCUGCUCCUCUAGGGACCCCGGGAAAGCAAAAGCCGGGCAAUCCAGCAAGAUUGGGCAACAGGCAUUGUAUUUUCACCAGCAAUUUUGGAAGACGUGGUGUUAUUGAUUGUUACUAAUCCUCAAGAUAAUGGAAAUUAUAUCACUCAAACAUCGUUGGUUGUCAUGUAGGGCGAUACACUGAAGCCCCGUUGUCUUGUUGGCAGGCUAUGGUUAUACGAACUAAUAAUCUGUACUGAUAUGAGAAUGCAAUUAAAUGAGAGAAAAAAUGUCCUACUAGCA